rnacentral:rRNA from 1 species
AGGUAAAGAAAUUUUAAGUAGUGUACCUUUUGUAUCAGGGGAGUUUAAAAAAAAAAAAGUUAAAAGUCGAUUUUAGCGGACUCUUUUAUUUAGUUUAUAGUGGGAGUUAUAAUUAGAAUUUAAGUUAAGAGGUGAGAUGUGUUCGGCGCUUUUGGUAUCUAAUUGUUUUUGUGGGUAAGAGGAUAAGCUCUUAAGUAAUCUAGGUGAUAAAUUUAUAAAAGAAAACUAGGCUUUAAAUUAGCUGAGUUUUUAUAUUGUUUUAAAUAAUCUUUCUAGCGAGUUGAGUACAGAUCUGAAAGACUACAUUAGUUAGUUAAAUGUUGUGUAAGUAAUUAAUUCAUUAAAUAUUGAUAGAGGCUAAAAAGUUACUCAAGGGUGGCUAGAAAGUUUAACAAAAACAUUUCCAUUAAAUUUAGUGAAGGUAUGACCUGCCCAGUGAGUGUUUAACGGCUGCGGUAUUUUGACCGUGCUAAGGUAGCAUAAUCACUUGCUUCUUAAUUGGUAGCUGGAAUGAAAGGUUUUACUAGCUAGGUUUGUCUGUGGGGUCAAAUAAUACAUUAAAGUCAGGGUAAGAAUUCUUUGAUAGGCUAGGGGACGAUAAGACCCUAGAAGCUUAAUAAUAUUUACAAUUUUAGUUAUAUAGAUAGGGUUUAUUUUGCUGGGGCGGCGUUGUUAAAUAAACUAACAUAUUUUUGGGGGAUCCUUUAGAUAAAGAUAUAACGGGUAAGUUACUCUAGGGAUAACAGUACAAUAUUUUUAGAGAGAACUUAUCGAUAAUUAUGAUUGUAACCUCGAUGUUGAAUUAAGAUCCCUGUGCGAAGCAGAGAGUGCACUAGGAGGUUUGUUCAACC